CAUGUGCUCUAGCUCUCCAGC
rnacentral:miRNA from 1 species